rnacentral:tRNA from 1 species
AUGGUGUAACGGCUAUCACUCUGAACUCUGAAUCCAGCAAUCCGAAUUCGAAUCUCGGU